GUGCUCGCUUCGGCAGCACAUAUACUAAAAUUGGAACAUACAGAGAUUAGCAUGGUCCCUGCACAAGGAUGACAUGUACAUUGGUGAAGCGUUCCACCUUUAA
ensembl:snRNA U6 U6 spliceosomal RNA